AAUGAAAUAAAUAACCUGUGUUAACUUGAAUGUGAGGUUCUUUCUCUUCUAGGUUCGUACAGCUGUGGCAUCUGCUCUGGGAUAUUUAACAUUUAACCGAACGGCAUACCGCCAUCUAUUAGUGCAAUGUAGGAAUAAGCCCAAGUUGUUCAAGAAACUUAUAGGAAACCUUAGCAGAGAUGCAAGAAUAAAUACAGACUUUGUAAAAGAAUUUAGGAGACAAAAAAAGAUUGGCCUCCCUUCUCUCAGUUUGGAGAUAAAUGGAGGCCCACCUGCAGUUCCCAUACACACAAGAGAUAAAUCAAGAAGUACUGGUGUCAAGCUUUACAAAGUAAAGUGUCGUCCGAAAGAUUCUCUCUUUUUGAUGCCCACAACUCACCUAAUGGGAAGAUUGAAAAGCAUGGAUAAGCCCCGAGUUCAGACCACUGGGCACUAUCCCUUUCCACAUGUCACAACAUCAGACCUCAUUCAAGUUUCAAGACCAAGAAUUGUUAAUGUUAGUGUGCUCCGGAGAAAUUUGCCAGAAAAGAAAACUUGACUACAGUGCCUAUACUGCAGUGGCCAAGAGAACAAAGGUUGCUGUGAAUACCUUUAGCCUAUAGUUGAACUAGAGUAAAUAUCACUGCUGCGUCCGCAAGAGAUUUGCACAAGAAUGGAAGAAGAAAUGGAUUUAUUAAUAAUACCAAAAUCUGCCGCAAUGGUAGAGAAUAAAAGCAGAAGUGAUUAAAUAUACAAAGCAGAAGCGA